rnacentral:rRNA from 1 species
GACGAACCGAGCGAACGUUAUUCGGAAUCACUGGGCUUAAAGGGCGCGUAGGCGGGCGGCCAAGUCAGGGGUGAAAGCCUCCAGCUCAACUGGAGAAGUGCCUUUGAUACUGGUCAUCUUGAGGGAGGUAGGGGCGUGCGGAACUUCCGGUGGAGCGGUGAAAUGCGUAGAGAUCGGAAGGAACACCGGUGGCGAAAGCGGCGCGCUGGACCUCUUCUGACGAUGAGGCGCGAAAGCCAGGGGAGCAAACGGG